CUCGCGCUCGCUCCAGAGAGAGCCUGGCGGAAAUGACGAGAGUUAUCAAGCCGAAAAUAUCUGAAGUCAAGCAGCCCCCUGUGCGACCUGGGGAGGGGGUUGCAUGUGUGGUUUGCAAACAGGGAUUCGAGCGCAGAUGCAGAGCCAGAAAUGCCCACCUCGCGCUGCCACGGACCCGCAGAGAGCGCACCCUUCUCCCUCAGUCCCAAGCAGGGAGGGGGGAGCGCGAAGGUUCCUGAGCAAAAGCGGUAGGAGGCAGCGGCGGGCGGACAUCUGUACCAACCAUCCAUUUUACAAGUGAGCAUGAAGAGAUUCUUACUGCAAAUGAAAAACUGCGUGUUGGGGACUUCCAAUCUAAAAAGAAACACAAGACGGACAACAGUAACAACCACUGAGUGAACACAGUGCUGGGGUUGAACAGGGACAGUUGCUUUUCCCCGGCUGCAUGGAAGAAAACCACCACUCUAAAAUAUGCUUCUGCUCAGUAGGUCAACUGGACCUACCUGAUUGUUCUAAACAAUGACCCAAAGGAUAAGAAAUGUAGUAUCUUCUCCAGAAGCUGCUUGCUAAGCUUAGGACCUCAGAAACAGGGGAACCUAACAUUUUCCAUCCAGACCCCCAGGAAUUCCACCUACAGUUUGAGAACAUAGUCUUCAGAUUGCUGUAUAAUUCCAUGACAAGUGACUUGAACUCAGAUUGUACCACCUAAGGCACAAAGAACUCCUUCCUGAACAACAAGAAGUUGAAUAUCUGCAUCUGUAACCAAACUUUAGCUAAUCUUAGCAUGUAACUGUCAAUACUCCCAAAUACCAUAUCUUUCCAACACACCCAACACAGUGUUGUUGAUUUUAAAAUCAUGGUUUUGUCCCCAUAUGCCUCCUUGUAUUUCUAAGAAGAGAGAUCUUGAUCCACAUGACCAAAAGGAAUUAGAACUUUUAUGGUGAAUUUCUGGCUCCCACAGAGUUAAAUGCAGUUGUUUGUUCUAACUGACUUCAUACUGAGUGACAAUUUCAUCCAGUAAGGUAGAUUUGUAGAAGAAAAGCCCACAUAAAUAUAGCUUGUGGAGUUAUACGUUCUUACUGGAGGGGAAAAAAAGAGCAGAGGAGGAUGUUUGUUCAUUUUGCAUCUAAAUUUUUAGCAAGAGUACCCUCGUAUUUAAAUGCCAAAUAAAUGGUUUUUUUUAAGCCCAAGGGAACAUUGAAACUCUUAUUCUGCAUUAAGAUAUUCAGAGAGAAUAUUGAUAAAACAAAGCUACUAGUUAUUAACGAGUUCUCAACUCAAUCAACAAUGCAAGAUUGCCACUGCUGUGAACUGCAAAAUGUAAUUAAAAGUGUAAUGUAAUAAGGACGGCAA